rnacentral:rRNA from 1 species
GACGAACGCCGGCGGCAGGCUUAACACAUGCAAGUCGAACGCAUCGCAAGAUGAGUGGCAGACGGGUGAGUAACGCGUGGGAACAUACCCUUUUCUACGGAAUAGCUCUGGGAAACUGGAAUUAAUACCGUAUACGCCCUACGGGGGAAAGAUUUAUCGGGGAAGGAUUGGCCCGCGUUGGAUUAGCUAGUUGGUGGGGUAAAGGCCUACCAAGGCGACGAUCCAUAGCUGGUCUGAGAGGAUGAACAGCCACAUUGGGACUGAGACACGGCCCAAACUCCUACGGGAGGCAGCAGUGGGGAAUAUUGGACAAUGGGCGCAAGCCUGAUCCAGCCAUGCCGCGUGAGUGAUGAAGGCCUUAGGGUUGUAAAGCUCUUUCACCGAUGAAGAUAAUGACGGUAGUCGGAGAAGAAGCCCCGACUAACUUCGUGCCAGCAGCCGCAGUAA